rfam:Angiostrongylus costaricensis strain Costa Rica genome assembly, scaffold: ACOC_scaffold0000286
AUCGGUUACGGUGACAUAACUCCUCACACAUACCUUGGACGUUUAAUCGGUUCCAUAUGUGCCCUAGCAGGUGUACUCACCAUUGCUUUGCCAGUACCUGUGAGUUAUAUUUAU